UGAACACGCCAGCCUGAAGCCAGUGCCUCGGAGUCCCUUCGCUGAAAGACUUCUCUGACGUAUCCAAAAAAGGUUGACUGGGGAGCCCGUGGUCUGAACGAUCCCAGUCCGGUGAGGUAGAAGAAAUUGGAAAACUGAUCACGCAUGCUGUAUCUUUGACGGAGCAAGAGGCUUCUGUUCGGCAGACGUUUUCCUAUCUUCUUUGUGGAUGAUGAAUACUUCUGGAACGAAGCUUUCUCCAAGUUUUUCUGCUUCCUCUGAAAUGCAUGAAGUUUCUCCCAAGCAGUGUUCACCCGGGAAACAAAGGCACUGCUUUUCGAUUGGAUUCUGAAAUCUCAGGGUAUUUAAGAUGUCUUUUCUCCUCCAAAGCCACCUAACAAUCAGAAGUUCACAUGAUGCGGUGGUAAGAAUUUCUAUAAAAAGGUGCUCUGACUCUCAGAGGCAGCACAAGUAUCAAGCGAUGUGGAAAUCGCUAUGCCUGACGUUCCCAGCGCUGAACGCUUUGAGCUGCCUGCACAGCGGUGGGGCUGACAGCGCUGAACACCAGGGAAGCUUCGCGCACUCCGCAGGAACUUUACCCUAGCAAACUUGGAUAUGAUAGACUUCAAAACAAAACCCCAAGACAUUCUGGAACUUUCCCAAAAUGCAAAAGUUUCUGCGUUGCACACUUGGUAAUCCCUGGAAAUCCACUGUCUGUGCUGAGCAACAUUGCAGCAGCCACACCCAGACUAUGUACAACCCUCUUCUCUCCGGCUGCUGCGCUUGUUGGAGUCAUCGCUGCUUCAGGGCCCGCAAAGGGUGAGAUUCAGCCAAGCGAAAAGGCUGCAACCAGGAAGAAGCAUUACAAGAAGUCAUCCGCUGUGUGUUGAUUUAUUUGUGUCUGUAUCAGUGUGAUUCGUGCGCUUCCUCUCUGCCGCUUCCUAAACGAGGGAGAUGCAUCUUUUUGUUUUAAAGUUGGAAACUUUUUGUUUUGC